AACAUUUUACUUAGGCAGGAAGCACUGAAGAGAAGAAUCUUUUUUUCAGUAGACAUUUGUGGGAAAUAAAAAUUUGUUUAGAAGAAUUUAGGCCAAGAGAUAAAAUGGUCUUCUUUUGACUGAGGAGAGAUAAGAUAGAUUUUAAGCAGACAUCUGAAGUUAAAGGAGUUGUGUUUUCCUGAUUCUUCAUGGUCCAUGUAGAUGUGUUGAUGUCUGUGCAACUGAAGGAACAAUCACCUCUUCCAGUAUUUAUAGACUGCUUUUUGCAGGUCUGCAGGCCUGCCUCUGUGAGUACAGAUGGGUUUGUCUCCAGUGUGUGGGUACACCUGCCUGUGGACUGAGCUGAUCAGGGUUGAAGCUAGGUCACAGAGAUGCUUCAGGAGUUGAAGUUGGAACUGCAGUCAGCCAGCCUGUUACCCAAGAGACAAGCAGAAUACAUUAUCUUUUGUUUUAUGCUGAAGUAGAGUGCAGCAAGCAAAAAGCAGCAAAAGACACAUAAUCAAAGUACUUGGAAUGCUGACUGUAAAAUUAUGCUGAGAACUGGCUGCAUGAUAAGAUGCUUUUCCUUCCUCUUUGUUAUUUGUAUUAUUUUGUAAAGAUAGGCCAGUGUGAGUAUGUCCAAAUAAGCUAAUAAUCUAUUUCCCUUAAAAUUUCAGCAAAUAUUCAAGAGAAUAAAAAUGUAAGUUAUUGUCCACACAGCUAAUGUUAAUUUUUCAUUAACAUAAUUUAAGUCUCGGUGAUAGUUUGAAAAUGUUCAUAAUGUUCAUUAUCUAAUAAAAUAGAUAAUUGUGGAAUUAUCUAACUCGUAGAAGAUUAAUUGUGGAAGAGUUGUUUGUAUAUUUGUAACUGUCUCGUUUUUAGUAAAACCAAUUUUUUUUUCUGAGUUAAAAUAUUAAACAAUGAAAAAGUAAACUCAAUAAAUGUAAUUCAGUGCCUUGCAUAAUAGAAAAAUGUUAACAAGGUAAAAGCUGUUAAAAUUGGGAUGGUUUCAAAUUUUAAUGUGAAAAUUUCUGUGAUAAUUUAAUCUGCUAAUAUAAUGUUUAACUCUAGAUCUCUUUCUUGUGACAUGGCUCGAUGCAAUUUAGGUUGCUGUCAUUAAAAUUCUACAAGCACAUCAUACAGGCCUAUCUGCAGUGUAC
rnacentral:lncRNA from 1 species